rnacentral:rRNA from 1 species
UACGUAGGGACCAAGCGUUGUUCGGAUUUACUGGGCGUAAAGAGCGCGCAGGCGGUCGUUCAAGUCGCGUGUGAAAGCCCCCGGCUCAACUGGGGAGGGUCACGCGAUACUGAUCGACUGGAAGGCAGGAGAGGGUAGUGGAAUUCCCGGUGUAGUGGUGAAAUGCGUAGAUAUCGGGAGGAACACCUGUGGCGAAAGCGGCUCUCUGGACCACAACUGACGCUGAGGCGCGAAAGCUAGGGGAGCAAACAGG